UCAUUUAGAGAUGAUAAAGAUUCAAGUGACAAAGAUCUACAUUCAACUGAUAUAAGAUCACAAUCUUGAUCUGAAAAAUCUUCUUCAGGUGACACUGAUCUACAGUCUGUUAUAGGCAUGACCAAUUCACAUACAUUUUGAGCAAAGCUAAGUAGAGGUGAAUCAGGAGAAAGGCACUUCCUUUCUGAUUCAACUGAUUCAGGUGAAGAUUGUCGAGCUUCAAAUUCUUCAAAAUAG